rnacentral:lncRNA from 10 species
UCAGUGAACAAUGACAAUUUACUGAAAAGAUGCACAUGUUUUGUGAGGUGACAUUUGCAAAUCAUCAUAGGCCAAGAACUCCCGCAUCUGGACAUAUCAUUAAUGUGGAUCCUCAACACAAGUGAGAUAUGAUUGAUGGAGGCACCACCUUCCAAACUUGAGAAUAGUAACCAUCAAUCAAGAAUACGGAGUGAAUUGUGGGAGAAUUAAAGAGCAGGAUCUCGGAUCAGGCAUGGUGGCUCAUGCCGGCCCUCAGUUUUGCUUCAUGUUUCUCCAUGGUCCCUUUAUGUCUCCUUUCAUCAGACACCUCUGGUAAGGGACUACUCAAGUUUUCUAUGUGUGUAUACAUACAAUGUUCAUAUUGUCUGUUACUGAAUAUUUGAACACGUGAAUAUGUAACAAAAUACCUACAUUCCUAUUUCUUAUUUCUCUAAUGAGUAUCAAACAUAUAAGCAAAUACAUUUUAUUUGUCCAUCCAAAUGUACCUAAAAUCAUCAUGGCUAAAAGUGUUCUCUUUGUACUUUAACAAUCAUUAUGUCUAUUUGUCUACCAAUUUAUUCUCCAAAAUGCAAAAUCAUCUUUCUAUUUUCUUUUCCCCAUUCUACAUUCAUAGUCUUGCAAUAAAAUCUAAAAAAAAAAAAUCUUUUCUUUCAACAUUACUUAAAUUUAUUACUUCCUUUCCAGUCUAACUCUGUUUUUAAUCUCUUCAUAUCUGCAUAACAUAGUAGUGUUCUAAAUGUUUUAUCUGAGUCUAUUCUAAUUUAUCACAAAUGACACUCAUAGAUCAGUGUUCCCGAAUAUCACUUUUAUUAUAAUUACUACCUAUCUCAGUGUUAUCAGUUUUCAGUUAUCAUGGAUGAUAAGAUCAAAUUAUUUUCCAUCAUCUGGUACUUCAGACAACCCAUAAUCUUAUCUCAAACUUUUAAUCUCACUAUUCACUUUAUAUCCAUGUAUUCUUAAACAUGAUUUUUCUAAAACUCCCUUUGUGCUACUUCUUUAUUUCCUGAACAUGUCUCAUCUACUUGAAUAUUUACAAGUAGAUUGCCAUCUGAAAAUUAUCUGUGACAGUAAAUGUUUUGUCACUUAAAAAAUGUAAUAUCUAUAGAUUUACUUUAUUAAGAUCUAGAUAACAAAUACAUUAAACUGAUUUUACUGGUAAUAUUUUGGAUGUCUGGAUUAUACUUCAUUUCUCUGAAUAAAUCCCGAACACAUUAAAAAGUUGAUCUUAUUUACAUUCUAAAUAUUUUGGAGUCUUCCUUUUGCAUUCUGUUAUUCUUCAUUUGAGUCAUAUUUUGCAUACAUUCACCAAUAAUAAUAUUCUCAUUUAAAGGAAGUCUUUUUCUUUACCUGCAUGCACUGGAUGGGUGUGAAAAUUCCUUUUUCCCAUGUAAAUCUCCUUUUACAAGUGAUAAUCCUAUUCCUGGCUUCAUCAUGAAUAAAACUUAUUAAGAUGCAUGAUCAUGAAUGUCCCUCACUUUCAGACAUUAUUCAAUCCAAAACUCUCAUAAUUACUGAGUACUUCUUUAGCCCAGCAAAAACUAAAAGGUCUGUAGGAAGCUUGUGGUAGGCAGAAUUAUUGCCCACUUGAAGAUGUCCUCCUUCAAAUUUCUGGCACCUAUAAACAUAUCACCUUAUACAGCAAAAGUGACUUUGCCAGUGUGAUUAAAUUAAGGAUACGAACUGGAAAGACAACUUUGUAUUAUGCAGUGGACCUCGUAUAAUUACAAGACUGUUUAUAUGUUUUAGAAAGAUGCAAGAACAUUCAUGUCAAAGAAGAACACAUGACAAUGGAUAGAGGUUAGAGUGAUAUGAUUUCUGACCUUGAAAAUGGAGAAAUGGGUUACAUGCUAAUACACUCAGGUGACUUCUAGAAGCUGGAAAAGGCAAGUAAAUGGAGGCUUUCCUAGAGACUUGAAAAAGAACACAGAACUUCCAAUACCUUGAUUUUAGCUUGAUGAGCCAUUUGGAUUUCUAAUCUCCAGAAUUUUAAAAUAAUACAUUUGCACUGUUUUAAGUAAGAAGUUUGUGGUACUUCAUUACAGCAGUAAUAGAAAACUAGUAAAAGCCUCCUUCCUACUGUUCUUUACCAAAAUGCUCCCAGGUUUUGUUUUUUAUUUGUUUUGGACAGUGUAUCCUCCCUUACAGCAGCAAGAUAAAUAAACUAAAUUUGUCUGAGUACAAGUAUGUUUCUAGUGAACUUUCUUUGGUCAGCUUCAUGAAAAAAAUGGGUUACAGUGAAUUUCGACGAAAAUUCCCAUGGUUAUAGACCAGAACCAUUGAUGAGGGCUGAUGGAACUUAUUUUAAAAAGUGCACAUAUAAGUGGAUCCAAACAGUUCAACUGGUGUUAUUCUAGGGUCAACUGUAUAUCUAUGAGAAGAAGCUAAUAGUGCAAGAAAGGUCACAUAUACAUUAAAUCUACCCUUAAUGUGGCCCUAAGUCCUGAAGAUUUCAAAAGGUCUUAUCAGAGAGAAGUCAUUGGAAAAGUUUGUUUUAGUCAUGUUUUUCAAAACUAUACAGACUUUUUUUCAAUUUCGUCCUAGGGACUCUGAGAACUGUUUUAUUUCAUUCCAUUUACUUGGAGACAUGAGCAUGUCAGACUGCAGUUGAUGAUGGCCGGCCUUAGAUCAGAUUCCAAAAACAAAUUUGCAAAUAGUGUUCCCACUGAUUGGUGUAGUUCUGAAGGUCAACUGAGUCUAUGUCUAUACCCCUCCAAUCUGAUCUUUUGGUUUUUUUAUGUUCUUAUACUAUGGUUUUGUCACUUGUACAUUUCUCCUUGCUUGUUGGACACAGCUUUAAAAUUUUAGCAUCUUUAUAACAUGAAGGAGGUAAAUAUUUCCAAAAUGGAACACAAGCCCAUGCUAUAAGAGAAAAAUAAUCAUGCUUUACCAAAUUUAAAAAUUUCUCUACUUGAAAAGAUUUGUUUUUUUUUGAGACAAGAUCUCACUUCUUGCCCAGGCUGGAGUUCAGUGGCACAAUCACAGCUCAUUGCAGCCUCCAUCUCCCAGGCUUAAGUGAUCCUCCCACCUUAGCCUGCUAGGUAGCUCGGACUAUAGAUUCAAGCCACCACAUGCAGCUAUAUAUUUUUUAUACAUUUUAUUUAAAUAUGAGGUUUAUCCAUGUUUCCCCGGCUGUGAAAAGUCUUAAGGAACUAAAAAAGCAAGUAAAAAGCUGAAAUAAUAUAUUUACAAUUUGUACACAUGAUAGAGGACUAAUUAAUCAAAUUAUAGUAAAUUCUUGGAACUCAACAAUGAAAAGGCAAAAUGGUUUAAAAAUUUUUUAUAACUUAAAUCUUCAAAAAUAAAAUGAAUUGCCAAUGUGCACAUGCAAGGAUUCACAACACCAUUGUUGUCAAAGAAUUGUAAAUGAAAACCACAACGACACACCACACAUACCCACUAGAAUAUUUAAAAUUAAAAUGACCACCAAAACUGAAUGCUUGCAAGGUUUGGAGACAGUGGAAACUCCACAUAUUGCUUGACAUAAUGUAAAAACUACAAACAUUUUGGGAAAUAGUUUGAGACUUUUUGAUGCAGUUAACAUUUUGGGAGAUAGUUUCAUACUUUUUGAUGCAUAUCUGUUGUGGUGCCCCAGAAUUUCCCUCUUAAGUACUUACUCAAGAUAAAUUAAAACAUAUAUCCAUACAGAGCCUUAUAUAUGCAUAUUCAUCACAAAUUUAUUUAUGAUAGCCACAUUUGGAUUCAAAUCAAAUGUCCAUUAUUAGAUAAAUGAAUAAACAAUUGUGGUAUUUUAUAGAAUGAAAUACCAUCCAAUAACCAAUAAGGGAGUAACUACUGAUACAUCCCUAAGAUGUUUCGGCUCUGUAUCCCCACCCAAAUCUCAGGUUGAAUUUUAAUCCCCAGUGUUGGAAAAGGGGCGUGGUGAGAGGUGAUUGGUUAAUGAGGGCAGACGUUCCCUUGCUGUUCUCAUGAUAGUGAGAGAGUUCUCACAAGACUGGUUGUUUAAAAGCAUAUAGCACUUCCCCCUUUGCUCUCUCUCUCGUUCCACCAUGUGAAGAUGUGCCUGCUUCCUCUUUGCCUUCCGCUGAAAUUUUAAGUCUCCUGAGGCCUCCCCAGCCCUGCUUUCUGUAUAGCCUGUGGGACUAUGAAUCAAUUAAACCUCUUUUCUUCAUAAACUACCUAGUCUCAAGUAGUUCUUUAUAGCAAUGCCAUAACAGACUGAUACAUUCCCCAAACAAGAAUGCCUGUCUGAAAACAUUAUGCUGGGUGAGAGACAACUAUAAAAGCUUAUACUCUAGAUUUCAUUUAUAUGAAACUCUAGAAAUGACAAAGCUAAAUUAUAGGGUUAGAAAGCUGGCGAGUUUUCACUUGAAGUAUUGUUUAUUUGCUCAAGUGCAAGAAGUACUGACACACUUUCAAACGUUGGGUUUUAUAAUAAAAAUAAAGGUAAGAAUUUCUAUGAAUAUAUUCUUCCAACUCUAUCUUUCUUAUUUUGAGAGGUAAGAGCCCAAAGACCCUGUAUCUCUGCCCUUGGACUCACUUCUGUGAAGGUAUGGCCCAGACCACUGUCCCAUCCUGAAGGAGACGUGUGUUUACUAAGAAAAAAAUUGUAAGUAAACAUGAAGAAGAAAGCCACUUUAAAUAAAUAUCAGUAGCUACUGAUAACAACUACUAUGGGUAGUUCCACCUCUAUACUUGUCUACAAGGACAAGGGGAGAAGCUCAUCUCUGAUGCAGACAUGGCCCAGAAGAAGGAGCUUCCCUUCCUCUAAUAACCUGACUCCUGCUUGGAUGAUCAAUGAAGAAUUGGAACAGUAUGAAAACAGCUUUCAUAUUUCCACACUAACAAAGCUACUAACCUCCCUAGAUUGGUUCCAUGUAUGCUAACUUGCCUUCUGUCACAGUGGAUAACCUUCUAUGCACCUUUCUCAGACCAAUCCCUCUACUUGUGCACAUGAGGAUAACAUUGCUCAUGCCCACUCAAGUGCCAUACAAACAAUGUUCCCCUCUUUAAUCUGCAUUCUCAAUUUUUUCACAUUCUAUUUGAUCAUACCCAUCAAACAAAUAUAAUAUAAUGUUUCCCUUUAAAAAAUUAUUCCAUUGUCCAUCAUUCCAAGUACCUCCCCAAUAUCCUGUUGUCUUUCACAGAAAAAAUGUCUUCAAAUUUUGCACCAACUCACUGUCUCUCUAUCUUCUUUGUUUCUUCGUUGCCUAUUGACCUCCCCCAAUACUCCAUCUACAACUUCACCAAAAGUGCUUUUGUGUAGCUCAACAACAACCUUCACAAGCCUAUACCCAUAGUUAUGUUUAAACUCAAUGUCAGCAGCAUUUUAAUGCACUUGAUCUAACAUCAUCUUCACUUGGCAUAGGAAGUGCACUCACACUUUCUCCUUAACCUACUUGUCUGGUCCUUUUCAUUCUUCUUUGUUGGAGCCUAUCCAUUUUUCUGCCGUUAAAUGUGAAAUAGCCUAAGGCUCAGAUUUCAGACACGUUCCAUUUAUUUAUCAACAACCAUUCUCUAAGUCAUUGCUUCUCAACCUGACUGCAUGUUGGAAUAACCUUGAUAAAUUGAAAAAUAUGUGAUUUUUAUUUUAUUGGCUUAGAGAAUAACCCGGACAUAAAUAUUACACAAUUCCUGCAGCAGAUUCUAAUUCCCAGCCAAGACUUAGAACCACACCUCUAAGUAAAAUCAUACAAACCCUUCAUUUUAAAUGGCAUUUGUACUAGCUCCACAUUAGAAUCAUAUGGGUUAUUUAAAUAUGCCCACCUACAAACACGUACACACUAAUGCACACAGCACCUUUUUUUAAUUCUGAAUAAAUUGUUCUACCCUGAGAUCCAGACACAUAUGUAUUAUAAACAUAUCACCCAGUAAUUCUAGUAAUCAGCCAAGGUUGGAAGCCACUAAUAAAUAUAAUGGUCACUCCAAGUUUAAAUCCAUAAUUUGAUCUCUUCCUUGAAUCCAGUCUUAUAUAUAGGGCUUCCUUCUCAAUUUCUGUAUUUAGAUAUAUUAAUGGUAUUUCAGACUUCCAUUUUGAAAACUUAAUUAUUUCUUCCCACCUCAAGUAUACCCCAUUCAUUCAUCAGUUCAUUCAUUUAUUGAGCAUUUGUGUGCCAUGUUCAUUCUAGGCUCUGAAGAUUCAGCAAUUAAGAAAAUAAAAAUUCAUAUCUUCUUGGCUCUACAUUUUAGUGGCAGAUACAAACCAUUAAUGGACAAACACACACACACACACACACACAAACACACACUUUCCAGGCCAAAUCUAUAAGCCUAAGAGUGUUUACUUUUACUGACAGCAUUUUUUCAAUAUGUCAGAUAAUCUAGUAUUUUCUACAUGCAAAAUAUCUAUUCAGAAUCUGAGAACUUCUCACUAUCUCCAAUAGUUAUGACCCUGAUUGGAAUGCUAUCUUACUGAAUUUUAGUAGUAGCCACCUAUGUGGUAUUUUAUUUUAACUUUUGUGUCGCCAAUGCAAUCCCUAUUCUACACACACCAUGAGAGUUGUCUUUGUAGAACAUGAAUCUAAUCAUUUCACUUUCUAGCCCAAAUGCCUCUGAGGCUAUCCUCCUUUCCCAAAUUAAAAUCCGAAGUCUUACAUUGGCCUUGAAAGCCAUUUGCAAUCUGCUUCUCCAUCGCGAUCCUCACCCAUACCUUCAUUUCCUAUUACUUUCCCCCUUUCUCUUUUUAUUACAAUUAAUCUGGCCUUGCUUUUCUGAAAACACACCAGUAAUGUUCUGAUCCUUACCUUUGUAUAUACUGUUUCACCUUCCACACAAAUUCGUGACUCUUCUUUCAUUCAGGUGCAAAAUAAUACCUUUUUAUAGAAAUAUUUUCUUAUCAUAUUUAAAGAUUACAUUUCUUAUAUUUGUUAUAUAGGUAAACACGUGCCAUGGUGGUUUGAUGCAUAGAUCAACCCAUACCUAGGUAUUAAGCCCAGCAUGCAUUAGCAAUUCUUUCUGAUGCUCUCCCUCCACCCCACCCUACUUUCAGGCUCCAAUGUAUGUUGUUCCACCUCCCUCCCCCACAACCUGUAUCCACGUGUUCUCAUGGUUCAGCUCCCAUUUACAAGUGAGACCCUGUGGUGUUUGGGUUUCUGUUCCUGUGUUAGUUUGCUGAGAAUAAUGGCUUCCAGCUCUAUCCAUGUCCCUGCAAAUAACAUGAUCUCAUUCCUUUUUAUGGCUGCAUCAUACUCCAUUGUGUAUAUGUAACACAUUUUCUUUAUCCAAUCUAUCAUUGAUGGUCAUUUGGGUUGAUUCGAUAUCUUUGCUAUUGUGGAUAGUGCUGCAGUGAACCUACAUGUGCAUGUAUCUUUACAAUAGAACAAUUUAUAUUCCUCUGGGUAUAUACCGAGUAAUGGAAUUGCAGGGUCAAAUGGUAUUUCUGCUUCUAGAACUUUGAGGAUCGCCACACUGUCUUCCACAAUGGUUGAACUAAUUUACAUUCCCACCAACAGUGUGAAAGUGUUCCUGUUUCUUCGCAACCUCAACAGCAUCUGUUGUUUCUUGACUUUUCAACAAUUGCCAUUCUGACUGGUGAUAGAUGAAAUGUCAUUGUGGUUUUAUUUGCAUUUCUCUAAUGAUCAGUGAUGUUGAACUUUUGGUCAUAUGUUUUUUGGCCACAUGAAUGUCUUCUUUUGAGAAGAGUCUGUCCAUGCCCUUUGACCACUUUUUGAUGAAGUUGUUUUUUUCUUGUAAUUUUUUUUAAGUUCCUUGUAGACUUUAGAUAUUAGACCUUUGUCAGAUGGACAGAUUGAAAAAUUUUUCUCAUAUUCUGUAGGUUGUCUGUUCACUUUGAUGAUAGUUGUCUUUUCUGUGCAGAAAUAUUUUAGUUUAAUUAGAUCCCAUUUGUCAAUUUUUCCUUUUGUUGCAAUUGCUUUUGGCAUUUUCAUCAUGAAAUUUUUGCCCAUGCCUAUGUCUUUAAUGGUAUUCAGACAUUUUCUUCUAGGGUUUCUAGAGUUUCGGGUUUUACAUUUAAGUCUAUGAUUCAUCUUGAGCUAAUUUUUGUAUAAGGUGUAAUGAAGGGCUCCAGUUUCAAUUUAUGUAUAUGGCUAGCCAGUUUUCCCAUCACUAUUUGUUAAAUAGGGAAUCCUUUCCCCAUUGACAGUUUUUAUCAGAUAUGUCAGAGAUCAGAUGGUUGUAGGUGUGUGAUCUUAAUUCUGAGUUUUCUAUUCUGUUCCAUUGGUCUAUGUGUCUGUUUUCGUACCAGUUUCAUGCUGUUUUUGUUACAGUAGCUUUGUAUUAAAUAGAAUAGUUUGAAGUUGGGUAGUGUGAUGCCUCCAGCUUUGUUAUUUUUCGUUAGGAUUGUCUUGGCUAUAUGGGCUCUUUUAGGGUUUGAUAUGAAUUUAAAAGUUUUUCUAACUCAGUGAAGAAUGUCAAUGGUAGUUUAAUGGGAAUAGCAUUGAAUCUGUAAUUUGCUUUGGGCAAUAUGGUCAUUUUCAUGAUAUUGAUUCUUCCUAUCCAUGAGCAUGGAAUGUUUUUGCAUUUGUUUGUGUCCUCUCUUAUUACCUUGAGCAGUGGUUUCUAGCUCUCCUUGAAGAGGUCCUUAACUUCCCUUGUUAGCUGUAUUCCUAGGUAUUUUAUUCUCUUUGUGGCAAUUAUGAGUAGGAAUUCAUUCAUGAUUUGGCUCUCUGCUUAUCUGUUGUUGGUGUAUAAGGAUGCUUGUGAUUUUUGCACAUUAAUUUUGUAUCCUGAGAAUUUGCUGAAAUUAUCAGCCUAAGCAGCUUUUGGGUUGAGAUGAUGGGGUUUUCUAAAUAUAGAAUCACGUCAUCUGCAAACAGAGACAACUUGGCUUCCUCUCUUCCUAUUUUAAUACCUUUGUUUCUUUCUCUUGCUUUAUUGCCAUGGCCAGAACUUCCAGAACUAUGUUGAAUAGGAGUGGUGGGAGAGGGCAUCUUUGUCGUGUGUCAGUUUUCAAGGGGAAUGUUGAAACACUUUCUACAGUUUUUUAUCUUUAUAGCACUAUUUAUAGAUUGUUUUAUUAUUUAUGUUUGUUUAAUGUCUUUUUCCUUUACACAUAUAUGUGUGUGUGUGUGUGUAUAUAUGUAUACGUAUAUAUGUAUAUACACACACACACACAUAUAUAUACAGCACAAUGUGUAGAAAUAAAUAUAUAUAUUUAUAUACCCACACACACAAUACAAUGAGAACAAGAAUUUUCUUUUGUCUACUUUAUUCCCAGUGAUAUGAACAGUUAUAAGUACAUGCUGGCUGGGUUCAAUGGCUCACUCCUGUAAUCCCAGAACUUUGGGAAGCCGAGACAGGAGGAUUGCUUGAGCCCAGGAGUUCCAGAUCUGCCUGGGCAAGACCCAUCUCUAAAAAAAAAAUUUAAAAAAUUAAAAAUUAGCUCAGUGAAGUGGCCUCCA